AACGAACGCUGGCGGCAUGCCUAACACAUGCAAGUCGAACGAGACCUUCGGGUCUAGUGGCGCACGGGUGCGUAACGCGUGGGAACCUGCCCUUAGGUUCGGAAUAACUCCCCGAAAGGGGUGCUAAUACCGGAUAAUGUCUUCCGACCAAAGAUUUAUCGCCGUUGGAUGGGCCCGCGUUGGAUUAGCUAGUUGGUAGGGUAAAAGCCUACCAAGGCGACGAUCCAGAGCUGGUCUGAGAGGAGGAUCAGCCACGCUGGGACUGAGACACGGCCCAGAAUCCUACGGGAGGGAGGAGUGGGGAAUAUUGGACAAGGGGCGAAAGUCUGAUCCAGCAAUGCCGCGUGAGUGAUGAAGGCCGUAGGGUUGUAAAGCUCUUUUACCCGGGAUGAUAAUGACAGUACCGGGAGAAUAAGCUCCGGCUAACUACGUG
rnacentral:rRNA from 1 species